UACGUAGGGUGCAAGCGUUGUCCGGAAUUAUUGGGCGUAAAGAGCUCGUAGGCGGUCUGUCGCGUCUGCUGUGAAAACUCGGGGCUUAACCCCGGGCCUGCAGUGGGUACGGGCAGACUAGAGUGCGGUAGGGGAGACUGGAAUUCCUGGUGUAGCGGUGAAAUGCGCAGAUAUCAGGAGGAACACCGGUGGCGAAGGCGGGUCUCUGGGCCGAUACUGACGCUGAGGAGCGAAAGCGUGGGGAGCAAACGGG
rnacentral:rRNA from 1 species